rnacentral:tRNA from 1 species
GGAGGUACAGCUCAGUGGUAGAGCACGUGCUUAGCAUGCACGAGGUCCUGGGUUCAAUCUCAGUACCUCCA